rnacentral:rRNA from 1 species
CCAUGUAAAGCACCCCUUAACAAAGGAAAAAACCAAAUGAAGCCUGCCCUAAUGUCUUUGGUUGGGGCGACCGCGGGGAAAUACAAAACCCCCAUGUGGAGUAGGAAUACACAUUCCUAAACCCAAGAGCUCCCGCUCUAAUGAACAGAAAUUCUGACCAAUAAGAUCCGGCACACGCCGAUCAACGGACCGAGUUACCCUAGGGAUAACAGCGCAAUCCCCUUAAAGAGCCCUUAUCGACAAGGGGGUUUACGACCUCGAUGUUGGAUCAGGACAUCCUAAUGGUGCAGCCGCUAUUAAGGGUUCGUUUGUUCAACGAUUAAAG